UGGCAAGCAGUAAAGGGCACAUGGUGGAUGCCUUGGCAUCAAGAGCCGAUGAAGGACGUUGGAGCCUGCGAUAAGCCCUGGGGAGUUGGCAACCGAGCUGUGAUCCGGGGGUGUCCGAAUGGGGAAACCUGGCUGGAGUCAUGUCCAGUCAUCUCCGUCUGAAUGAAAUAGGGCGGUAGAGGGGAACGCGGGGAAGUGAAACAUCUCAGUACCCGUAGGAAGAGAAAACAAUAGUGAUUCCGAGAGUAGUGGCGAGCGAAAUCGGAUGAGGCCAAACCAGGGUCGUGUGAUACCCGGCAGGGGUUGCGGUUCUGGGGUUGUGGGAGUGUUUGUCAUGCGUCUGCCGGCGUGUGGGGCAGUAAGAAAGUGUGGUUGAAGUUGAAGUCCGUUGGAAAGCGGCGCCGUAGAGGGUGAUAGCCCCGUAGUCGUAGGAUCAUGCCUGCCUAUAGCACAUCCCAAGUAACACGCCACCCCUGAAAUGGUGUGUGAAUCUGGCGGGACCACCCGUUAAGCCUAAAUACUUCUUGAUGACCGAUAGCGGACUAGUACCGUGAGGGAAAGGUGAAAAGUACCCCUGGCGGGGAGUGAAAUAGUACCUGAAACCGUGUGCCUACAAUCCGUCAGAGCCCAGCCACCCUGUAGCCGUAUGGGGAGUGGGGGUGAUGGCGUGCCUUUUGAAGAAUGAGCCUGCGAGUUUGCGGUGUGUUGCGAGGUUAACCCGUGUGGGGUAGCCGUAGCGAAAGCGAGUCCUAAUAGGGCGUUUCAGUAGCGCGCUCAAGACCCGAAGCGGAGUGAUCUAUCCAUGGGCAGGUUGAAGCGCGGGUAAGACCGCGUGGAGGACCGAACCCACUUAGGUUGAAAACUGAGGGGAUGACCUGUGGAUAGGGGUGAAAGGCCAAUCAAACUCCGUGAUAGCUGGUUCUCCCCGAAAUGCAUUUAGGUGCAGCGUUGUGUGUUUCUUGCCGGAGGUAGAGCACUGGAUAGCCGAUGGGCCCGACCAGGUUACUGACGUUAGCCAAACUCCGAAUGCCGGUAAGUGAGAGCGCAGCAGUGAGACGGCGGGGGAUAAGCUCCGUCGUCGAGAGGGAAACAGCCCAGACCAUCAGCUAAGGCCCCUAAGCGGUGACUAAGUGGAAAAGGAUGUGGAGUCGCAGUGACAACCAGGAGGUUGGCUUGGAAGCAGCCACCCUUGAAAGAGUGCGUAAUAGCUCACUGGUCAAGUGAUUCCGCGCCGACAAUGUAGCGGGGCUCAAGUCAUCCGCCGAAGCUAUGGCAUUCACACUGUCUUUGAUGACGUGCUGGCCACUGGGUGGUUGGUUGUGUGGGUGGGUAGGGGAGCGUCGUGUCGCGGGUGAAGCUCCGGAGUGAUCCAGGGGUGGAUGCGACACGAGUGAGAAUGCAGGCAUGAGUAGCGAAUCACGGGUGAGAAACCCGUGCGCCGAAUGAUCAAGGGUUCCAGGGUCAAGCUAAUCUGCCCUGGGUAAGUCGGGACCUAAGGCGAGGCCGACAGGCGUAGUCGAUGGACAACGGGUUGAUAUUCCCGUACCGGCAAUGUAGCGCCCAUGACGAGCCCGGUGAUGCUAACCAUCCGAAGCCACGCUUAUCGAUCCCUUCGGGGUGAGAGGGUGUGGGGGAGCGUGGGAUCCGAUCCGGUAGUAGUCAAGCGAUGGGGUGACGCAGGAAGGUAGCCCAGCCCGGGCGAUGGUUGUCCCGGGGUAAGCGUGUAGGACGUGGCCUAGGCAAAUCCGGGCUGCUGACUUUGAUGUCGAGUUUGAGACGUGAUGCCGACCCCGUAUGGGGGAAGUGGGUGAUCCUAUGCUGUCAAGAAAAACCUCUAGCGAGCUAUGCGCCGCCCGUACCCCAAACCGACUCAGGUGAUCAGGUAGAGAAUACCAAGGCGAUCGAGUGAACCAUGGUUAAGGAACUCGGCAAAAUGCCCCCGUAACUUCGGGAGAAGGGGGACCCGAACCGUCAACACCCUUGCGGUGGGUAGCGGGGAGGGUCGCAGAGACCAGGCCCAAGCGACUGUUUACUAAAAACACAGGUCCGUGCGAAGUUGUAAGACGAUGUAUACGGACUGA
rnacentral:rRNA from 1 species